rnacentral:rRNA from 1 species
UACGUAGGGGGCUAGCGUUGUCCGGAAUCAUUGGGCGUAAAGGGCUCGUAGGCGGCCAACUAAGUCAGACGUGAAAUCCCUCGGCUUAACCGGGGAACUGCGUCUGAUACUGGAUGGCUUGAGAUUGGGAGAGGGAUGCGGAAUUCCAGGUGUAGCGGUGAAAUGCGUAGAUAUCUGGAGGAACGCCGGUGGCGAAGGCGGCCACCGGGACCAACACUGACGCUGAGGAGCGAAAGCCAGGGGAGCAAACGGG